CUUUCUUUCCUUUUUAUUUGGAGGAGUAUAAAUAUUUUAAGUGAUCUUUUUGAAAGGGAGUUUUUCUUUUUAGCCUAGUUUUAUUUUUUCACCACUCUUAGUUUUAGACUUUUUAGGGUUUUAAGGAGGUUUAGCCUCCAUAGAUAAGUUUAGGAAGAAAAGGGAGAAAACUCAAAGAAAGAUGGAAGAUUGUAGAUUCAAGGGUGACAUUUGUAUCGAAACUUUCAACCAUUAAUCAAUGAGCAUUUCUUA